UUUAUAGCAGAAAUCGCGCCAAAAAUCUCCAUGGAGGGCUUACAACACUAAAUCAGUUUCAUUUUGUAAUAGGAACAAUUAUAAGUUAGAGGACACUUAGGGCCUGCUUUGGUUGCUCUUUACAAUCCACUUCAACUUGCAGCUUCAGCCUUUUUAUCAAGAGUUUUCCUCGGAUACCGUAUUUAUUUGGGAAGACGGUUCUGGGGUGAGGUGCCUCAAUUGCGUUUAAUGUCUAUUUAUGGUCAAAAAGCUCAAGUUCCUAGUGCAAUUAUCAUCGAUGGUGAAUGUCCUUAACGUCUAUUCUUACUCCCAAAUUAUUUUUGAGUUGAGAAUGCGCAACCUUUACUUUUAUAAGUUGAGAUAUAUUGACAUACUUGGAUUAAUCUUGCUUGUGUUGCUGCUGCCAUAUUGUGGAUAAUGGUCCCUGGUUCUCAGUCCUCAUAUUUUCUAGUCUUUGUUGGUCUCUAUUAGCAACUUUCUUCCUAUUGUAUUUGACAUCAUUGAGUUGCUGACUGAAAUUUUUUCUU